UAAUCAUUUGAACCCUAAAAAUUUUCCAUGUCUAAUUUCAAUUUUGAAAUACCUUAGCCACCAUCUUGCAAUCUCAGCCACCACCAAGAAUCCAAAAAUAAGUCGCACGAAGAUCACAGACGAAGCAAAAGGGUGAAGAAAUGCUGGAUUCUCAUUUUUGAACCAUUCAGAAUAGGCGACGGUGAAUGACUGUGGUGAAGACAAGCAGCAGUUAGUGUUGUGUUUGCUGGGAGUGAUGCUGGGGCAUGUUGGAGAAGCAGCAGAAGAAAAAUGCAUUUUUUGCCGGGAAAUUGCAGAAGAAAACUGUAGAAAGGUUGCAGAAGAAACCUGCAGUGGGAGAGUACUGCAUUUUAUGUAGUUUCUGCAAUUUUUUCUUUUCUGUUCAUGCAGCUAGAAUGCUGCAUUUUCUGCAGUUGUCUUGCAGAAAAUGCAGUGUUUUGCCUUCUGGUUGUGAAGCUUUGUUUAAUUGAUUAACAGUCUUCAAACGGACAAGUUGUUUUUUUUUUUUGGGUUAAUUUUAUAUUACAUUCAAUCAGAUGUACUGCACAAUAAUCUACUGUUUUGAAUAUAUUAUUUGAUACAUGAUAAAUAGACAAUUGGUAUUUGCAGUU